GUGUCUAGGUGGAGACCCAAACAGCAAAACUGUACCCUACACAGUUCACCACCAGAGGGCGCAAAAGAACAAAAUCCAGACAUACAGCUUAACAAACAUCAAAUGCAAAAGACCGUUACACUCCCACCAAUCACUUGUGAUUUUAAAGAAUAAAGUAUUGCCUAUGAACUAACGAACGGCUUUUGAAUGAACUAUCAUGAAUUAUCCUUUAAGCAGAGUGCGGUGGAGAAUCUUCUUCCGCUUCCAUCAGAAUGACUGUUUUCUGAAUGGGUCUUUCCAGGUGCACAGGUUUGGAGGAUACACUUCAAUGAUCCUUGCCAACUUCUACUGGUUGCGUGGAGUUAUCUCAUCCUUCAGGAGGACAACAUCAUUGAUCUUAGCAUUUCUGUGCUCUUUGGUCCACUUCUGUCUGCCUUGAAGAUUUAACAAAUACUCCUUUUUCCACCUUGUCCAGAAAGUGUUGGCAAGUAAUUGAACAUGACACCAUCUCUUAUGGAGAUAAAGAUCUUCUUUCACAAACUUUCCUGGAGGUGGAGAGAUGAUUGUGGACUUCAUGGUUAGUAUGUGAUUCGGUGUUAAAGGUUCUGGGUUUGAUGGAUCACAUAGUUGGUCAGUAGUCAAUGGUCUGCUAUUAAUCACUGCCAUGACUUCAUACAGGAAUGUCCUCAAAGAGGAGCUGUCGAGUUGUUUGGCUGAUUGUUCCAGAAUGGACAUGAGAACACUUCUUAUGGGGCGAAUUUGUCUUUCCCAGACACCACCCAUGUGACUAGAUGCUGGGGUGUUCAUGAGAAACUCGCAGUCCAGUUUCCCUAGCUUGGCUUGAUCUAUUUCCUUAAAUGGUCCAAUAAACUCAUUUCUAGUGCCGACAAAAUUCGUGCCUGGAUCGCAUCUUAUCUG